UCGCUGAAGGAUCGGCCCGCGUCUGAUUAGCUAGUUGGUGAGGUAACGGCUCACCAAGGCGACGAUCAGUAGCUGGUCUGAGAGGAUGAUCAGCAUCACUGGGACUGAGACACGGCCCAG
rnacentral:rRNA from 1 species